rnacentral:rRNA from 1 species
UACGUAGGAGGCGAGCGUUGUCCGGAAUUACUGGGUGUAAAGCGCGCGUAGGCGGUCUGUUGCGUAGGCGGUGAAAGCCCCCAGGCUCACCUUGGGGAGGUCCGUCUAAACGAGCAGACUGGAGGGCGGUAGGGGCUGGCGGAACGCCCGGAGUAGCGGUGAAAUGCGUUGAGAUCGGGCAGAACACCAGUGGCGAAGGCGGCCGGCUGGGCCGUACCUGACGCUGAGGCGCGAAAGCCAGGGGAGCGAACGGA